rnacentral:snRNA from 1 species
GUGCUCACUUUGACAACACAUACACUAAAAUUGAAAUGAUACAGAGAUUAGCAUGAGCCCUGCUCAAGGAUGACAUGUAAAUUCAUGAAGCGUCUCAUAUUUUU